rnacentral:rRNA from 1 species
AGUGAACGCUGGCGGUAGGCCUAACACAUGCAAGUCGAACGGCAGCACAGGAGAGCUUGCUCUCUGGGUGGCGAGUGGCGGACGGGUGAGGAAUACAUCGGAAUCUACUCUGUCGUGGGGGAUAACGUAGGGAAACUUACGCUAAUACCGCAUACGACCCACGGGUGAAAGCAGGGGACCUUCGGGCCUUGCGCGAUUGAAUGAGCCGAUGUCGGAUUAGCUAGUUGGCGGGGCAAAGGCCCACCAAGGCGACGAUCCGUAGGUGGUCUGAGAGUGUGGACAGCCACACUGGAACUGAGACACGGUGCAGAAUCCGACGGGAGUCAGCAGUGGGGAAUAUGGGACAAGGGGCGCAAGCCUGAUCCAGCCAUACCGCGUGGGUGAAGAAGGCCUUCGGGUUGUAAAGCCCUUUUGUUGGGAAAGAAAUCCAGCUGGCUAAUACCCGGUUGGGAUGACGGUACCCAAAGAAUAAGCACCGGCUAACUUCGUGCCAGCCGCCGCUGUAA